UUUCAACGAAACCAGGUACAAUUAAAUGAAGACAAUUUUAAGGGCAAUAUAGUCAAAUGGUAUAAGACGUUGCCUCCGAGUCAUGAACCCUUGGUCCGAUCCCAGUUUUCCGCUGUGCUUAUUUAUGCGAACGUUGUACUGAGUGGGAAUCGAACAGUGACCGUCGGUGCCGGCAUCCAAAUUUUAUACCACUCGUCCACCAGUCCGCGGAACUCGCCGCAUUUCAUUAUGGGAUUUAACCUCCUUAUAUGCGAGCUGACUGCGUGGUGGAAGAUUCCGCAAGAGAUGUUCGAAUCUCUGUUCCUGCUCCAUUGACAAUUGCCGGACGAAUACAUUUGUCAGUGUAGCUAAAGCUGAGGCUCGAAAAAGCGCAUCAACAAGUUAGCAGCGAACUUAUUUCUGACCCAUAUGAUUGAAAACCAAGUUUAAGAACCCCCUGUCCGCCGGUACGGAAAUCAGCUCUGAAUCCAUAACUCCAAAUACUCGUAUUUUAUAUCCUCCUUAAAUUUUCCAUUGGAUUCAUUUCAAAAAUUAAACGGGCGGUCGUAGUUGUAGUUACUCAAAUUCGCCACCGGAGGGCAUCGUUUCACUCAAUUCAUUUUGAGUCAUCAUCACAACCUUUUUUUUUUCCUCCUUUUUCGGGGGCUUUAUUGAGAAUGAUCCCGCUGUACAAAGUGUGAAAUUUCAACAUGACAACUUCCAGCAAUACAUCGGGAAUCAGACAAACGGUGAUAAAAACGAUUAUAUGCAUGAACAGGAAAAACACAGUGCCAUUGGAAAAAAAAAGAUCAAAUAAA